CUCAAAUCUCGCGAGACACUGCAACGAAAGGCGGGAUCUUUGGGCGGAAGCGUAAAACAUUUGAAGAAAGCAGCGCGAAGAGAAGGAGUGUUUGUGUGUCCGUCGCUCAGCUAUGAAAGGGAGAAAAACACUUCAUAUAAAGGAGGCCUUUCAGCAAACUCAAAAACCUCAUCAAAACCAUGCAAAGCUGGUGACAUCUUUAAAACAGACCUAUGAUGAGUUGCAGGAAAAAAGCGGUUUUCAUGAGGAGUUUGUUCAUUAUCUUAAGUAUGCCUUAAUAAUCUACAAACGGGAACCUGCAGUGGAAAAAGUGAUUAAUUUUGUGGCCAAGUUUGUUGCUUCCCUUUAUGAGCCAUUAGAAGAUGAUGCUGAAGAGGAAGAAACAGAAAAUUCACUUCUGAAUUAUUUGUUCAACUUUCUACUUGAGUCCCAUAAUGCCAACAACAAUGCAGUUAGAUUCCGAGUAUGCCAACUUAUUAAUAAACUUUUGGGAAGUCUGCCAGAGAAUGCUGAAAUUGGAGAUAAGCUGUUUGAUAAAAUUAACAGUGCCAUGCUGCUCCGAGUGAAAGACAAAGUUCCAAAUGUGAGAAUACAAGCUGUGCUGGCUUUGUCUAGACUUCAGGAUCCAAAGGACAGUGAUUGCCCAGUGAUUAAUGGUAAGUUGAUGGGCUUAGUGCUGAUUUUUAUAUUUUAUAUCAGUUGGGUGUUUUUCUUUGUAAUUGUUACACAUUUUGGGUGGAAUAUACUGCAUCACGAAAAAUUCCAGUGAUCACAUUACUUUUGAACUUUGCCCGGAAGACUGAAAGGUGCUAUAAAGUGGAAAAUAGAUAAUUUAUCCAUGUCAGAAGUCUCACAUGUUUAAACCUUUUUUUUGGGCAAGCUUUCCCUUCCAGAUCAUAAAGAAUCGAUCAUAGUGAUAAAAAGAGGUUAAAACAUUCUUGAAAUUCUUAUUAAUCAUUUCCUAGCUUACUGGGAAUAAAUAUUGGCUAAUAGCUGGAAUAAACACGGAACCCCACACAGGCUGAAUCCCCCUUAUCUGGAAAUCUGAAGUACAGUAGAGUCUCACUAAUCCAAGCCUCGCUUAUCCAAGCCUCUGGAUAAUCCGAUCAGGAUCAGGAUCAGAAACAAUUCAUAAGCACACAGUAACCAUAUUCCUGCAGUAUUAAUUAAUGUCAGUUAAUUUCCACUAGCAUUUAGAAAAUGGAAUCAAAUUUCAAUAGCAAAUAUGGAUUCAAAUUGUCAUUGCUGUCUUGGUGAUCUAAAUUGCUGACCUAAAUCGGUAGCCAACCUGUGAGCAUUAAACAUUUAAAAAGAGAUUUCACAUUUUAAAAAGAUCAUAGAAUCAUAGAAUAGUAGAGUUGGAAGAGACCUCAUGGGCCAUCCAGUCCCCCCGCUAAGAAGCAGGAAAUCGCAUUCAAAGCACCCCCGACAUGGCCAUCCACCCUCUGCUUAAAAGCCUCCAAAGAAGGAGCCUCCACCUCAAAGUAU